AACGAGUUAUCUGAACCUUCGGGGAACGAUAACGGCGUCGAGCGGCGGACGGGUGAGUAAUGCCUAGGAAAUUGCCCUGAUGUGGGGGAUAACCAUUGGAAACGAUGGCUAAUACCGCAUGAUGCCUACGGGCCAAAGAGGGGGACCUUCGGGCCUCUCGCGUCAGGAUAUGCCUAGGUGGGAUUAGCUAGUUGGUGAGGUAAGGGCUCACCAAGGCGACGAUCCCUAGCUGGUCUGAGAGGAUGAUCAGCCACACUGGAACUGAGACACGGUCCAGACUCCUACGGGAGGCAGCAGUGGGGAAUAUUGCACAAUGGGCGCAAGCCUGAUGCAGCCAUGCCGCGUGUGUGAAGAAGGCCUUCGGGUUGUAAAGCACUUUCAGUCGUGAGGAAGGUGGUGUAGUUAAUAGCUGCAUUAUUUGACGUUAGCGACAGAAGAAGCACCGGCUAACUCCGUGCCAGCAGCCGCGGUAAUACGGAGGGUGCGAGCGUUAAUCGGAAUUACUGGGCGUAAAGCGCAUGCAGGUGGUUUGUUAAGUCAGAUGUGAAAGCCCGGGGCUCAACCUCGGAAUAGCAUUUGAAACUGGCAGACUAGAGUACUGUAGAGGGGGGUAGAAUUUCAGGUGUAGCGGUGAAAUGCGUAGAGAUCUGAAGGAAUACCGGUGGCGAAGGCGGCCCCCUGGACAGAUACUGACACUCAGAUGCGAAAGCGUGGGGAGCAAACAGGAUUAGAUACCCUGGUAGUCCACGCCGUAAACGAUGUCUACUUGGAGGUUGUGGCCUUGAGCCGUGGCUUUCGGAGCUAACGCGUUAAGUAGACCGCCUGGGGAGUACGGUCGCAAGAUUAAAACUCAAAUGAAUUGACGGGGGCCCGCACAAGCGGUGGAGCAUGUGGUUUAAUUCGAUGCAACGCGAAGAACCUUACCUACUCUUGACAUCCAGAGAACUUUCCAGAGAUGGAUUGGUGCCUUCGGGAACUCUGAGACAGGUGCUGCAUGGCUGUCGUCAGCUCGUGUUGUGAAAUGUUGGGUUAAGUCCCGCAACGAGCGCAACCCUUAUCCUUGUUUGCCAGCGAGUAAUGUCGGGAACUCCAGGGAGACUGCCGGUGAUAAACCGGAGGAAGGUGGGGACGACGUCAAGUCAUCAUGGCCCUUACGAGUAGGGCUACACACGUGCUACAAUGGCGCAUACAGAGGGCGGCCAACUUGCGAAAGUGAGCGAAUCCCAAAAAGUGCGUCGUAGUCCGGAUUGGAGUCUGCAACUCGACUCCAUGAAGUCGGAAUCGCUAGUAAUCGUGGAUCAGAAUGCCAC
rnacentral:rRNA from 1 species